GCCCCCUUCGCCCCGCCCACCGCCGUUGCCAUGGCGGCGGCGCGGUCUGCUCGGAGCGGGCCGGGACGCCGCGCCCUGUGACCCCUCCCGGAGGCAGAGGAUGGCUGAGGUUGGAAAGCGCCUCCGGAGGUCAUGGAAUCCGCCCUCCUGCUCCCCUAGAGCGCGCUGUCCGGCACUGUGUCCAGGGAAGGAGAUUCCGUGGCCCUCUGCCGUCCGCCCCACACUGAGGCCUGAAAGAUUCCCCUUCCCAAGUGGCGCUGCGCGCACACUUCUGCUUUGCGUCCUUCCAGUCAAAGCUGUGUGACCCCCUGGGCUGCCUGUGACGGCCCGCUGUUCGGCGUCCCCCAGCCUUCCACCGAUGGCCAAAAGGCUCGAGAAAGCAGGAGCGUGCCCUGCCUGGGAGGAAGCACCAGAUAUUGAGAAUGAAAAGAAAGUGAAGCAUUCAGCUUUCCGAAGCAUUCAGCUCUGUGAAUAUACAUGAAUUAACCAGCACAGUGCAGGUAUAAUGGAAGGGCUUCCUGGUCAUUCUGGAGCAUCAGCAGCUGUACCUGGAUGUGAAUUGCACUGUGAUACAGAUAAGUUUUGCAUUAAUACUAUCCAUUUUUCAAUGUGUAAUGUUUUCAUAUUCAUACAAGUGAAGGGUUUAUGUUUUUGCUUGGUAUGUGUAACAGACACAUAUAACAGUUGCCUUAAAAACCUGUUGUUUGUCAAGAAAAAUUAGUUGAUCCGUUGAUCUGAAGUCACUCAUCUUGUUGAACCCAUUGCAAAGGGGCUCAGACUGAGGAAGCAGCUUCUGCCUCUUGCUGUACUGUUAGACUUGCUAGGUAAUUCUGGACACAUUGCUUAACCUUCCCAAAUCUGAGUUUAAUGAGCUGGAUAUGCACUUGAGCUCUGUGAAUGAGAAGUGUUUCAGUUUGAGUUCUAAUCCUCCGUUCAUCAGUUGACAGAAUGCUUCCACUGUGUUUCCUUAUGUAGCGAGGUGUUCUCUGCUCUGAGAUAAACUUGCCUUUAUUUAGGAGACCUGAAGGAAAAACGAACAAACAAACAAAUGAUGCAUUUGCUAAUUUUUCUGAGAUUAAACAUUCAGUAGAACUCAACAAAUAUGUUUACUAGUUUAAUUGGAUUACAUUAAUAUACAUCCCCACAGCUUUUAUUACAUAAGCCCUUUUCUACCAGGGAUUUAGUCUAUUAGUUAAGGAAACCUGAGGGAUUAAUCUGAUAGCUGCAGUCAGAAAUUACAGUGUAAUUAAAGUCACCCAGGAAACAGUGAUACUGAAGUCUGCCAAUCCCUGCAAAACAAACUUGUCAAUUUUCUGCAUCUAGGAUAGCAUAUAAGGUGACACAUUAAAGGGGCACAAGUUCUGCACCAGAAAUAGGCCUGUUAAGGAGGAACUUGUGUACUGCACAGUGUAGCCAUCGCUGUUCUUGCUACCAACUACUGCUGUCUGUUUUUGAAUAGACUUUAAAGGUUUUGGUGUUUUAUUAAAGGUCAUGUACAGUGUGGGAGAGGAAGUAUAACACGGCUUGCACGGAAGUCUAUUUUAAAGCUUACUUUACUAAUUUAGUUGGACCGAGAUGUUACUUCAUGUCCAAAAGAAGAUAGAAAAUGCAAUGGCUGUAAAGAAGAAAGUUGCAGAGCACUGGAGCAGCCUUGUUAGUAGCAGGGAGAGACGUUUUGUCAUGGUCUGUACUUGUCAGUGUCAUUUGCUGCAAGCAGGGUAAUGGAGAGCAUGCAUCGGUGCAUGAGUGGAGGAGGAGAUCUGUUGUCUUCAUGAAUGGCAUCAAGGAACAGCACAGCAUUCCAGAAAUUCUGCAGAGUGUCAGUACUUGUGAUGUGUUUGAGCCAUUCUAAUAGCAUAAUAUACGCAGGAGAGAUUUAAUUUCACUAUAUCCAAAAUACACAGCAUUUGGUAUUUCUUUUGUUCUAUGAGACAUAAGUCUAAUGAUGCAUAUUCUAGUUAGUGCAACUUGCUAUCAAGGUUGUAAAGAAAUAAGCAACAAGAAGAAAAUAACGUAUGUAUUUUUUCUGUUGUCAGAGUAGACUUGUAUAUAUACUUCACAGCUUUGUCUUCUUGCUCUAAGUUGUAAAGUAACCUUCACAUAACAUUGUGUAAAUGGAAAAGUUCUCUGCCAGAAAGCUAAAGCCCAAUAUCUGUUGCUUGCAAAGCCACAGAGGGAACUACCCAUUGUUUCCUAGGAGGAGAUGGUGCAGCGACUUGCUGUGGCUUUAGCAAGAGGGCAAGGCUUUGUGAUAGAAGAUAAGCAAAGUAUGAUGACUUAAGUGGAGUGCUGAAGCUUUUACUGCAUCUGUCUUGUACAGUGUUGAAUAGAUUUUUAGGAACUUGCCAGUCAGGAGACCUGCCUUCGUGCUAAUGUGCAGACAUAGAGAAACUGCAUGAACAGAGGCAGGAAGCACUCAGAACAGAAAGGGAAAAUGAGCUACUGAUGCACACAGAGCUUUGCUUGGUAUAGCAGGCAAAGGAGGAUCCAGCAGGAACAGAAGAUAUCUCUUCUGUGCCUGAUCAGCCUGAGAAAAGUCCUUAACAAAACAAAGUGGCAGCCUGGAGAGUAUAAAACACAGGAAAUGAUGCAUUUCCAGUCCCACUUUUGCUUCUUUCUCAGCAGUCGCAGGGUGGGUGAGUAGGAGUUGCCUGUGCCAGCUCUGUGCAGCCUGGCAAAACUGGGGCCAGACCCGACGUUGUUGAGGCUGCUUCCACUUUUGUUUGUGAGGUGGAGGGAAGGACACCCUCUGUAAGUGUUGGUAUUAAUGCUUUUCUCUUAGUUAAUCUGUUUUGUUUGCUGCUGAGGCAUUUUACCUUCACCUCUAAAUUAUUUCAUUCUUCAUCAAAAUCCAAAGAAAACAGAGAUUCAAAGAAAGCACCCCUUAGAAUAGACUGAACGCUGAGUAUUAUUUGUAAGAUGUAUGAAACAGGAAACGGGAAGUUAGAAACAUUCAGGGAGUCGGUAUGCAUCCAAGUAGUCAAUGGUUCAGGGGGCAGAUAAACCAACACACCCCCACCCAGCACUGCAUGGCUACACCACCAGCAUUCAGGAAUUCUGACCUUUGCUAAAUCUUUAAUAUCUUUGGUUAUCAAACCCAAACUCGCUCACAUGCCAGAAGCAGUGUGGUACUGGGUAACCAUGUAGGUAAUUUUCAUGCUCAGAGAAGACAGCUCAUUUGUCAAACUGCGUCAGGUGAGAGUGCUCAGCAGGCCUGAAUUUCUGCAGAGAAAAAGGACCGGAUUCUCCUCCCUGUUGGCACCACCCAGUCUGAGUCAUACAGGCUGGAAGCAGUAGUACAGCUGCCAAACUUCCUCACCUAGAUCACGCUAUCUGCUAUAGGCUGCACUGGGAUUAUUGAGUGAGGUGUUUGGGUGUAGAAUUAAAAUACGUUGAGCACAGGAUUGUACUGUUGGGGAUUUUUCCACAAUGUUUCUUCUCCAGGAAAUGUUUUUCCUCUCUAGCAUUGCAGGGUAACAGUGUAAACGUUUGUUUUUGUUGGUUCAUUGCCAGACAAACGUAAGAACAUGUUGUAAAAGUCACAUUUUGCUGGAUUUCGUUUUAGAAUAGUAGAACUGUAGAAUGGCUUAAGUCAGAGGGAACCUUAAAGAUCAUCUAGCUUCAACUCCUCUGCCAUGGGCUGGCUGCCCCCACCAGCUCAGGGUGCCCAGGGCCCAUCCAACCCGGCCUUGGGCACCUCCAGGAAUGGGGCACCCACAGCUCUGGGCAGCAGUGCCAGGGCCUCACCAUCCCCUAAGCAAAGAAUUUCUUUGUAACAUCUAACCUAAAUCUCCCCUCUUUUAGUUUAAAUUCCGUGUAGAAUUUCAAGUGUGUUUGGCACCUGCCAUUCCAAAUACAGACAAAGUUAUAUGAUAGAACUCAGACUUUGUAAAUCGUAAUGGAUUUUGAUCACAGGAUAUGAUGCUACUUGGUCACAACAGCCCAGAUCCCUGUAGGACACAUACUUCCAUUGAUUUCACUGGAAGUUAGGGGCCACAGAGAACUCUGUGGUUCUUUUCCUACCAGCUGAAGUCAAUGAAACCACCUUUUGAAAAUGGGGUUCCAGAUAUUACAGUCUAGCAGACAAAGCUGGCUUAUCCCACAUUAAAUGUCACCUCUGAGAACGGAAUUUAAGUGAUGAUGGCGUAGUGGAAGUCUAAGACAGAGCCAAGGCCAGAGUGUAAAUUAUCUGAUGCCCAGCCCAAUGCAUGAACCACAGUGCUGAUGUUUGAUUACUGUGAGGUUGGAUACUGACUCUAUAAACAACAACUGCAGUUUUCAAAACUUACCCGCAGCAAAUGCAGAACCCUGCCUUGACAUGGUUUUCUGAUGGUAGAACUCUGCUUGCUGAAGUCUAUUUACACCUCAAAUUUUCCAAAAACAAGACUUCAAUUCCUCAUUGCUGUGAAGCAAGCAUUACUUUUAACAAAUUACUUAAUUGCUUUUCUAGCCAUUUCUUUUCCUGCAUUUCUUAAUUGAGUUUGUAUAGAAUAUUUCUACAUGAAUGAGUGCCUGAGGCAAGAUGAGGUCUGAGCAGAAACCUGUAUCUUGGUUUCCUAGUCAGUGGGAUGCAGGAGAGCCUACUGUGCUUCUGUUUAGGGAUAAGAACUUGGUUAAAGGCAUGCAACCCAACUCAUGUUUCCUUGUGCUUGCUUACAAGGAGAAUAUCAAGGUCUCAGACUGGAUAAUGAUGCAGAAAUGCACACUGACAGCGGUCCCAAUAGCCGGGCUCAUGGAAAGAAAGUCUCAGAUGUGAAUGAAGGAUGUGAGGCUGCAGCCAAAUUGAUUAGAAGCAAAGAACUCUCAGACAUCUGAAGUGUGCAAAGCAUAAAGCUGUCCUCUAAUUUCCCAGUUUUGGCAGUUUUGUUGCCACUUGAAGGUAAAGCUGGUAUUAAUCACUGGGGGGAAAAUGCAACCCUGCUCUCUUUGAUCUUUCCUCCUUUAAUCAACAGUUUCUAAGUGCAAUAAGACAUUUCAGAUGUUGCCAAUGUAUUUUUAUCUGGCAAUUGUUCAAUGCGUAUCCUAAAAUGGAGAGGUGCAUCUGCUGAAACACAGCAUGGUGCUUCUGGAGGAGGAAACCAUCUCCUUUCUGGCUUUGCACUGUUCAUUGGUCUGACAGCCUUGGAUAUCCAUGGAAAUGUAACUGUUCCUAAGAUGAAUCCUACACGUUGCACAGUUGCUCUGCUUCCUGUAACUCAUCUAAAUAUUGGUGACUAAUUAUUCUUGAGGAAACAUCCUUUCUCUGUGGAGUUAGCUUUGCAAGCAAAAGGACAUUAGAAGCAGCACCCUGACCAGGUCACUAGCCAGCCAGGAGAGAGCAGGGAUUGCAGGCAGGAGGUGGCAGCCUCGAGUAGCAGCACACUGCUUUCUCUGCUCAGCUAUGCUCAGACCUGAAUGCUAACAGGAGCAGGGUACAAACAGCUUGGGGUCUGGGUCCUUGCUUUAAGCACUGCAGCUUGAAGAUGGAAACCUAACUUUGUCCCUCGUGCCCACUAAUUAAAAACGUAGCUAAGCUGCUCUAUAGGUGCAGUGUUGGAGUUGUAUGGGUUUGCUCAGAAUUUUUAAUAUUUUGUUCAAUAUCUUCAGAGGGAAAGAAUGUAGCACUCUUUAUUUGAUCUGUCCCGUUCUCAUCUAGGUUUAUUUCUUCUUGCAAGGAAAAUUAUGUUGCAGACAAGAAUAAGUCCCCUCGAAAUACUGUAUUGUUUUGUUUGUGUGUCUAAUUCUUGAGCCCCAUCCUGCAAAGCUGAUGGUCCUCCAUGGCCUGGCUAUAGUCCACAAGGGGAUUUAUAAGGGAAUUUUGCCUCCCUCAUGAGCUACAACGAAGUAACGGCAAAUGAACCUACUUAGAUUAAAGAUGUCACUGACUGAAAUGUUCUAAUCAACAGAACCUUGCAAUUAUCCUCUCUCAGCAGAGAGGGGAACUUGAUGACAUCAUUGUUUUUUCCCUGUGAAAACGCUUAGUUGGAAAAAGACAAAAAAAGAUUCAAUGAAUCACAUGCAACAUCCCACUUGGAAUCUUUGAAUAAUCCCAAAGAGUGCCAUUCACUGCAACAAUCAAAAUGUAAGCCAAGAGAGUUCUGCAGCAUUGCUUUUUGCCCACUGGGUGAGUAUUCGUGGUAGGAAUUUUCCUCGUUCAUUUUAUUGUAAAAUCUGUGUAUCCCUGACUGUUUUUUCCUGGAGUCCCACAUUUUCAUCUUCUGGACCAAAUCUUAGUUUACUUUUUUUUUUCCUUUCUUCCUUCUGAUGCACAUGAAAACUCUUUCUUUAAAAGCUGACAUGUAGCAAAUGUUACAUCUGACAUCCUGCAAAUGGAAUCCUUCGGUUAAACUGUGUGUGCACAAAUCUGUUCCCCACAGAGCCAAUGGUCUACCUGGAUGGAUAUGAACGCAAGACUGGGUUUUCUGUAACAGUCCAAUCCUGUUAGACACAGAAGACAUUGUCCUGAAUGGUUUUGUUUAAUCUUUUCAUUAAGCAAACAUUUUCCUAAGUUUGCAUAAGCAGUCACCCAGCUGCGACUUCCACACAGCCUCAGUAACUCGGAGGGUGUGGUGAUUAAAUUUCCUCGGAGACUUUCCUUCCAUCUGACUACCAAAGAGUAAUUCAUUCCUCAGCCAACAUCGUUUGUUUGCUUUGUUUCUUCAGCCUUCAUCUGCAGAAGAUACAUCGGUGAGGUAAUAGUGGUCUUUCUAAUGCAAAAGAGUGAGGGACGAUUUGUUGAGCCACAUUCCCUGAAGAAAGAAGGCUUAUGUGCACAGAUUCUGUCUGGCCCAACAGCCAGCACUAGAACAUGGAAUCCCAUUGGGCAAUUCACUUCAGUAUGAAAAAGAGAAGACUCCAGUUUUCUGUCAGGACUGUCAGCUGAAGGGCUGAGCCUAACAGCUGUUCUGUGUAAGAGUUUGAACUCAACUAGCCGUAUUACUGGAAGAGGAGAAUGUGCCAAAAGGUGUUUUGCUCAAUGAAAAAGUGCAGUAAAUUUGAGCCGUAUCAGGUCUGUGCCGCUGGAGAAAUAUGCUUUCCUUUUUUAAAGUGUAUGGAAUCCUACAACUUCCUUUCUGUUUCUUGGUUUUCUUAACAUAACAGUGGCAGCAGCAUUGGCUUCUGUAGAAUGUCAAUAGAAGUUAUGCUUCAGAUCCAGAUGUGCAGAGGAAGAAGACUUUCCUUCCACAGCUCUGUGGGUCCUUCUAGCUGUUACAUACCGACCUGUCACAGAGGGGGUUCUGUGAGUCCUCCCUAAUUCAUAUUAAGCACAAUUGGGCAGAUUUUAUUAAGCAGUUUAAAAUCCUGUUCUGACAUACGGCAUCUGGUUUUGCAUCACUUGAAUUAGCAAUGCUCCCACAAGCUCUUCUCUUAGCACAUCUGAAGAGUGUUAACCCUAUCCACUGGCACUGCUAGAUGGAAAAGAAAUCAUCUGUAUGUGACCUGAAGCCCUGUUGCCAAUGCACAGGCAUAUAGCAUUGUGGACGUGGCUACAGCCUGUACAGAAGAGAAUAUAAUUCUAUUUGGAGGGCUUGACUAUUCAAGCUCUGUGAACAGGAAGAAAAGGGCUGACUCAUAUAACAAGCCAACGUCAAUGAGCAGAAUCACAUUUUAAAUGAGGUCACUUAAACAAGUGGUUUCUUAUACUGAGAAAAAUUACAGGUAGAUUGAAAUGGUGUGUUUAAAGUACUGCUUGGUGGUUGGGGGCACUAAGGAAUCUAUUCCAAGUGUGGAAAAAAGCCUUCACCACAUAUGCACUGGAGGUCUUAAGAAGAAGGGAUAGUUGGAGUGUAAGGGAUAAUCUUGAGCUGUGAAUGGCAUGAGCAAACAUUUAGGGAAGCCUAGCUCUGUAUGGUAGGAAAGUCUCAGGGAGAUGAGCCAGUACAUCUGUGAGCAAUGGAAUCAGCGAAGCCUGGUUUCCAAUGGGUAUGUGUCCCAUUCUGGGCUCUUUCACAUCUAAUCCGGUGCAAGAUGUGAUCCAAGCUUUUCCCGUGGCCUGGAUGGUCUUUGUGUCUGUCGUAGGACAUCGUCUAGUGAGUAGGGAUUUGGUACAUCUUUUCCCAUGGUUGGAAGUGCUGUUUGGGUCUCUUCUUCCCAGUUGGCUGCCCAUGUCUGCUAAACUUGCAACAAAUUUCUAUCUUGAAUUCUUUACUUUGCUUAGAAAUUUAUUUGAAAAGCACACAUUGGAUUCAAAAGUUAUUUAAAGGGGAAGUGAAAACAGGAGAAUAUGCACUCAUACACCAAAUGCAACGGCAUAGGCCUUUUGCCUUAAGAAAUUGAAACGUUAGAAGAAGGUAUUUCUGCCUACAGAUAUGGUGGUUUCCAGCACUGGUGGUGAUGUCACUUCAGAUGAGGGGGAGAUGGGGAGAGGAGAGGGUUUGGAAUAGAAGGGGUGAAUGGAAGCAUCACUAAAACCUGCUUUCGCUCUGUGACCUUUGAAGUUGUUCCGUGCAGAGCUGGCAUACAAUAUUUCAACACUGUACUCUUGUGGUAGGUUCAUUUGUCAAUUUUUAUUUAUUUAUUUAUUUAUUUAUUUAUUUAUUUCAACUUAGUUAUUUACUGGGUGAGAAAAUGUAUAGUUAAAACCCAGAUUUAGUCUAAAUGUAUGUACAGAUUAACUUUUUUUAAUUGACUGUUUGUUAGGCUGGCAUUACUGGUAUGAUUUGUUUUGUUUAACCUGUUUGUCAUUCCAAAGUAAUAUAUAUUUUCUUUUCUAAGAGGAAUUUGCACUGGUAUGUAUGGGAACACAAAAUCCAAUACAAGUCUAUGAAACAAUCUACCCAAACGUGUAUCUAAAUCCAUUUGAAUAGGCACAUUUUGUGACCUGGAGAGAUUUUCUGUAGUUCCUAUCAACAUUUUUAUCAAAUCUUCAUUCCAGUAGGUCGGAACUCCGUUGUUACGCUGAUGCUAUGGCUAGCUUGAGAAAUAACCUUCCUUUUAUUUGAGAACCCGUAGCUGAAACGUGUGGUAGAGCUAGUCUGCUCUUUUGUCUAAGGAAGAAAAGAAAUGCCCAAUGGAAAUAGAAAGGGGAAAACUAUUGGAAGAGCUGUUAAAAACAAACAGCUGUAUGUUUUCCCCCUCUACCUUUGAAAAAUUCAAUUAGUUCCAAGCAUGGAUUUAAUCUGACGAAGUUAAUGUCUAUUCAUUUCUUUGAUAUCAUUUCUUACAUCAUUCUGUGAAAUAGAUUUCCGCGUUCAGUUCAUUAUCCAAUCAUUACUUUUCUGAUUCAAAUAACCAGUCAGCCUGCAGGGUACAAGCCCUGCUUUCAACAGUUGAAGUUGAUCAUAUUGGCCAAUACUGAGGUAGACAGACUGGGAUUCCCCUCUUUAAGGAAUUCAGGACAUCGUGAAAGCCACAAAGCGACUCCUUCACAACACUGAUACAGAUGGCAUGACUGGUGUGUUCAGCUGACUCUUGUCUGAGAGUGUUUGCAGGGUUGUAAACCAGCAGUAUCCUCCCUGUUUGGUCUGUGUUUGCACUGGCUUAGCCAACAUCAGAAUCUGCUCCAGGGAUAACAAAGGUAGCAGAGGUGGGGUUCUUUGGGGCUUGUUAGGCCGCUUUCCUGUAUUGGAUGUAGUGUUUGUUAGCAGAUUAGAACUGAACCUUGGGUAUCAUAAAUGAGUUGGCCGUGAGCCCCUGUGGGCAAGAAGUCCAGUGGUAUCCUGGGGUGCAUGAAAAAGAGAGCAGUCAGGCUCUUCUUGGUGGUGUGUAGCAAUAGAACAAGGAGUAAUGGCCUAAAACUUGAACGUAGGAAGUUCUGCACAAACAUGUGGAAGAACUUCCUUGUGGUAAGGAUGACAGAGCACUGGAACAGGCUGCCCGGAGAGGCUGUGGAGUCUCUUUCUAUGGAGAUAUACAAGACCUAUCUGUUCGCCAACCUGUGUGACCUAUUGUAGGGGACCUGCCUCAGCAGGGGGUUGGACUCAAUGAUCUCCUGAGGUCUGUUCCAACCCCUGUGAUUCUCCUUUAUGAGGGCUCAUGUUUUUUAAUUUAAUAAAUAUGAAAUAUUGUUCCUUGUUCGAAAGCUCACCUGUCAGGUUACACUCUUGUAAUUCCACUGCUUUAUAAUUGCAGUAUUCUUUCAGUAAGGUUCUUCUAUAUAAAAACAAGCUUGGGAAGAAAAGAGAAUAUCAUUUGAAGCCUCCUUUAAAUAUCCUGAGGAUUAAAUGUCCCUUUUGUGUUUAUAGUAACACUUUCUAUAGCGUGUGAAUGAGUAUUUUGGGGUAUUUGUUCUCAGCGCAGUGAAUGAACAAAAUGGUCCUCUUGAUUCUGUGAACAGAAGAAGUCUUUUUUUGUGUGUAACCUUGGCAGCAGACGUAAGUAUGCUCAUGGAUGAAGGAAAGACAAAUGAUUAUGGAAGCUAGAGACUGGGAGAGGACUUAGGAGAUAUAUCACAACGUGUUUAUUCUGCCCUUAACAUUCUUCCCUCUAUGCUAAGUAUAUUAGAAGCGUUGUCUGGAUCGUGGAAAACAAGGUUUAUUCACAAAAGCCACACAGUGUGUGAUCCUGGUGCCCCAGAGCACAGACCACAUCCACAUCAGUCAGUGUUCUUCUUACCACGCUCAGUGUAAGUCCCAGCAUCUCAGAUCACCUUUUCCAGUAACGCUUUUGGCAUUCCUUGUGUCUCCCUGUAGAUCAAGCCAAAAGUAAGCUUUACACCACUACAGCAAGCCAAGCAAGGGACUGACAGCUUAGCAAUGCCUUGAACGUCGUCACAUGCAACUUGCAGUGGCAAAGUGGUACUUAACAACUCUAUUUUCAUAGUACCUUGCUGCGUCUCUGUGGGUCAUUCAUAUCUAAUAAAAUAUACACACUGUUGGAGAUGGGAUUCUGAGCUCAGCAGCCUUUCAGUGUGACCAACUACACUGUUCAUAUGUAGAUGUAACAGUUAUUUUAGGUGAGUCCGUUCUGCAAUGUAGACACUGGCUAGUCCAUUAUUGUGAAGGAAACGGAAUGGACAGAGCAUUUAAUUGAUUAAUUACCCUAUGUUCAAAAUGCAGUCAGAUCAGGGUGAGAAUGAAGCCAGUAGGGAAAAAUGAUGGCUCUUUCAAAAAGUAUAAAGAAUAUUGUCAGUUUAACAUAGUAAGUGCUGCUUAAGAGUAUUUCCCAGAUCACAGUAGAGAUUUUUACUCUUUGCUCUCAUGCCCUGAAAUAUAACCUCAUCGUUCUGACCAAUAUGUGGCAGUCAUUUAGCAAUACGUCUGCUUGGGGAUGUUACUGGGGCUGUUAACAAAGUUAGCAAAAAGCUUGUCAUUUAACUUCUUGAAGCCAGGCUAAAGAUUUAGUGCCAAUGCAGGGGACAUCUGCUUUUUUUCUGGUCAAAAUGAAUAGACUGAAUUACAGAGACAAUAAAGAUGGAGUCUCAUGAUGCUAUUGUACACUGCUUUGCUUUUCAUUUUGAAGAGAACUCACAAGUAAUGGACAAAAUCAAAUGAAUCACCCCCUAUAUUUCAGCCAUCUUGUCUCAGCAAAUGGGCAGCAGUCAACAAGGAGAAGCAGGAACUUCAGAAAAUGAUUUGUUCUAUUUAUUUUAGAUACCCAUUUCAGGAUAGAGGAACUCAUCCCUCAGAAGGAGGAAGGCAUACAUACUGUCUCGUAUGUGCAGCUGUCUUGCUUAGCUUCUAAAUGAAUUCUACUCUAACUAGCCUACCUAACCUGUUUUUGCUACUGGAAUCAGAUGGAAAUACAGUCAGUAUUUGCAAAUGCAAAGCUCCACAGAAAUAGAAUGUAUCAUUCUAUAUUUCACCCUGCUUCACAGAGAGCCAGGGAAGGCUUUUUUUCAUCUACCCACUGAGAACAAAGUGCUGAUUUGGCUCUAUGGUUCUUGGAAACUGUCUUUGCUCUGCUAUUUCCUGUUACAUUCUCAAGCUGCGUAUUUUAGAUGUGAAUGAGGACCAACCCCCCAUCUCUUUUUGCUUGUAGCAGUAUGACAUGAUGCCUUGGACAGAUGUAGAUGGGUGUUUCUUGCCAGUAAAAAAAAAAAAAAAAAAGAAGUGGAAAAUGAAAGCACGGCAGAAAGUUUAGUUCUGGGGGUUCACUCCUCACUGUGUAUGGUAAACCAUGGCAACACCUUCAGUAGUGCUGACCUUGCCUGACAUGCUCUGCAGAGGCUGCACACCAAUUCCCAUCCCCUGGGAAGACCUUUGACGCUUUGCAGGAUUGUUAUUUGUUUCAUCCUCAGACACACGUUACACUGGCAGACCAAGGCAGCGAGUGCUUGCUUUGGUAGCAUUGGCAGGGGCUCUGAGCAUCUCCUUUCACAGCUCUGUGCUGCAGCCUGACAUCGUGAAGCUGCCUGCAGGCCAGGCAGACAUUUCCAAACAGCAUUCCUGGCAGCACAAACAGACAAUUAAAUUUAAAGACGAGGCAUUGCCACCAUUCAUUUGAAUGACUGUGGUGCUUCAGCAUAUUGCUAGUGUUUGUUGACAUAUGUAAUUUAUAGAAUUUGGUUUGUGUGUGGUGGGAAGAGGAAAUAUAUCAGUGCGGUGAUCUGACACCUCGUCUACGUUGGUGGCCUUAUUUCAUACCUUUUUGCAUGCCAAAUGGAAUGAAGUGCUCUCAGAAUCUGUAGAUGACCUGGCAGGAGCUGAAUGAGUGUCCUUAAAACCAUUUGUACUGUUGUACCUUUGUGUUUUCUGUUUUGUGACCUUGGCAGACCAGUGAUUGGGAAAGCUGCUCACACACCAUCUGCACCUGCUACUUUUGCCGUGCAGCAAGUGGUCAUUUCCUUUCCAAACAUGACUGGCUUCUGAUAGCAGUGGGAAAUUGGCAGCUCUUGUAUGAAAGCAGUAGAUUCCAGUUUCUUCUUUCGGCUUUUCACUGAGAUAGAACAGGAGUUGUUAUGGUUAUGUCCCCAGUGCUCUGUGUCACAGCUUUCUUUUCUACAUAACUGCCUUUUCAAUCAUUAAGUACAAUCAGUAUAUGGAAUCACAUCUUGUAUUGUAUAAUACCAUAUUACCCUGAGAUCUUUUUUUUUUUCCAGUAUCAUCUUAAUUCUAAACAGAGAUGCACAACCGACAGUGAAAAUGUUUCCCUUUUGUCUCGUGGCCUUUCUUUCUCAUUUCCAUGAGAAGAAGAGAGUGCAGAAUAAAGUUGCUCUCUUGACUUCCGUGGUCUGGCUAAAGAAACAACAUAGCAGGAGUGAGCUGUGCUUUUCUCCUUAUUUCUCUGGCACAUUGAAAAGAUGAGGUGUAGGAGUGUUCAUUGCUCUUCUAAUUCUCUCCUCCAGAGGGGAUGGAAGCUGUUGCAAUUCUUCCUUAUGAGGGUCCUUAAAAUCAGCAGGUAAGGAAGUACUGUGUUGAGCAGCACGCAGGCAAUCCCCCCAUCUCCAGCCUCAAGGAUCACCCCUGCAGAGAGCUGGGAAGGAGCUGUGCAGCUGGCAGAGAGCGCCAGGAGGUGGUGAAUUUAGUUUCUACUCUUAACAGCAUGAAACAGCUGCAUUGGCUUUACGUGUGGUUCGAAGAUUUGCCCUCUCUGAAAGUUAGGGCAAGUUGUUUGUGGCAUACAGUGUGCGCCUUAACAAAUGUGCAGUCUUUUUCUUCCUGUCAGCAACUGGAGAUGGUGAUAGGAUCACAUGUUUUUGCCCACGCUUUCAUGUAGCCUUGUUAAUGAAACAGGUAAUCCUGUUUGUCUUAAAAUCAAGGCAAACAUCUCUCAUGUUCUGUCCAUCUGUUCCAGACACUAACAGCACGCUCAUCACCAUGGUAUUGGAACAGUCUGGUACACAAAUAGCAAUCAGCAGCUAUUAGCAUAAUAUUAUUACUAGAUCCAUAAAGCUAAUAUUGGCAGAGAUAGGAGGUGUCGCACGUUGUGAGCUAGUUUCUCAGCACAUGUACCGUGUUCUGCCAGAAUGUGAUAAUAUUCUGUAUAAAAAUCAGUAGAAGGAUGCAAUUUUUAAUUAUUUCAUGCAAGCAGCAUAAAUUGUCCAUAUAAUACAAGUCAAUGAUUUCUUCUUGCAUUCAGUAAUUGGCAAUCCAUUGCUGUCUCGUAGUAAAACAGCAUUCUUUAGAAAGCUAAGUGUAUAAACAGGAGGGGGGGAACGGCUGUUUGUGAGGGUGGAUAGUGAUAGGACAAGGGGGAAUGGCUUUAAACUGAGACAGGGGAGGUUUAGCUUGGAUAUUAGGAGGAAGGUUUUCACCCAGAGGGUGGUGACGCACUGAACGGGUUGCCCAAGGAGGCUGUGGAUGCCCCAUCCUUGCAGACAUUCAAGGCCAGGCUGGAUGUGGCUCUGGGCAGCCUGGUCUGCUGGUUGGCGACCCUGCACAUAGCAGGGGGGUUGGAACUCAGUGAUCACUGUGGCCCUUUUCAACCCAGGCCAUUCUAUGAUUCUAUGAUAUUAAAUCAAACACUGAAAACUCCUUUUUUCCAUCCUCCUACCCCCCGGUCAUUGAUGCAGGCUGAUACAGGAGCGAAUCUUUGCAUGCAGGAGGUCACUCAUCCCAAAUGUCCAGCACAUGAGACAAGGUGUACUCAGCAUGAGAUCUUCUGGAGUACUGCUGGAGAGGUGGCACAUCACUGCAGCUUGCCAGAUAACUGUCACGCUGUGUCUGCACACACUCCCAGUGCUUUCUGAAAGGAGUGAAAAUUGCUUUCUGCUUUGCCGGCCCACAGAAAGAACACAGAUCUUUCAGAUCCAACAUUUUCAGACCUCAGACCUCAAACCUUUCAGAUUACAAGGGAAGCAGAUUGCAGAUCCCUCCAAAAGAUCCCGACUGCCCCAUAAAACGCAGCCAUUCUCUUCCUGUCCUUACACCCCUUCACUAAUCUAAUUUACACACAUUCAGAAGCCCAGCUUCAGAUGUGUCCUUUUCAUUUGGUCUCUUUUCCUAUGAUGUAAUAUAAGAUUUAUUUUGGAGUUGAACAGCCACACUUUUUCAAUCUCUGGUAUAUAAAUUGCUAGUUAAAAGAAGUGGAUUCCUCUCAGGUGGCAGAUUUUUGCAGGUCUGCUUCAAUGAAUGGCUCGUGUAUAUGUGUGUAUAUAUAUAUGUAUGUUUCUUUCCUCUCUUAGUCAGAAUUUGUUCCUGGGAGACCUAUUUUGCAAGCUUGUCUGCUGAAACUUCUGUAGAGAAGAAAGCAGACGGAGCCUUUUCAGAUUGCAGCUUCCCAGUUGCUGUGUUGAAAGCAUGAAGCAAAAGUGAAACCGAGGUAUUACAGUUCUUAGUUCUCAUAAACGGCUUUUCCUUGCUUUGCUCUGCAGCAAAUUCCAGCUGAGCUAACAUUUCUGUUAGCAUGACAAUGCCCAUACGUGCACUGCUGUAAUGAGAGGGAGCAUCUGUGUCUGAGCUGGUUGUGAUUGUGUUGAAAAGAGACAGAUUGUCAUCGUGUGUCAGUCCUUACUCUUCCACUGAACAUGAAACUUCCUUGGUCGUGCUGUUGGUUCAGUCUCCAGUCUCCAUUUUCAUAUCA
rnacentral:lncRNA from 1 species